rnacentral:rRNA from 1 species
UACGUAGGGUGCGAGCGUUGUUCGGAUUCAUUGGGCGUAAAGGGUGUGUAGGUGGCGCCGUAAGUCGGGUGUGAAAUCUCGGGGCUUAACUCCGAAACUGCAUUCGAUACUGCGGUGCUUGAGGACUGGAGAGGAGACUGGAAUUUACGGUGUAGCAGUGAAAUGCGUAGAUAUCGUAAGGAAGACCAGUGGCGAAGGCGGGUCUCUGGACAGUUCCUGACACUGAGACACGAAGGCCAGGGGAGCAAACGG